UCUAUCUGUAAAGUUGCCUCCCUCUCUGUACCAGGAAGAAGAAAGGAGAUGACCUUCUCUCUAAAAACUCUUAAUCAAUACCAAAGACAAGGACUUAAAAUCUGCAUUUUAUUGUGCUACUCUGGUAACCUCCUGGAGCUAACUUCCCUCCCCCUCCCAACGCUGGCAUUUCUUAAUGAUUAAACAUCUUUCCUUAGGCUAGGAACUGAUUGCUGAGCUCACCUGUGACCGCCCAGCUCCAGACAAUCGACUUGCCUCCAGCUACGCCCUCUGAGACAGCAGACCACUACCUGCUGUGUCCAUCAAGCACUGUGCCGACAGGGCAAUCUUGUGACUAUUGCGGGAGGGACAUUUCAAUCACAUGUGAAACACCCCGUUUGGGGGUAUAUAACCACUCUGGCACCCCACUUCUUGGGUGCCCUUUCUUCCUUCGGGAAGAAAGGCCCCGGGCCAUGGUUCCUCAUAAAGCUUUGUUUAAUUUUCUCUUGCUAUUCUGUCUCAUGUGAAUUUAAUUCGUUCUCCAGCCAGACGAACCCCUAUUUGGGGAGAAGAAAUGUCCUCCUCCCCUACAGUUUUGGCGUAGUUGGCAGGCUGAAAUUUCCCUGGCUUAACACUGCUUGCUCCUAGACUGCUGCGGCUGAGAGAUCCCAGACCCCUGACGAGAGCCGGCAAGAGAUCUCAGAAGUGCUCCAGACACCCGUGGGAAACUCCAAAAGUUGGUGAUCCGUCCUGCUACCAGUCCCGCACAGCUACGAGUGGCUGCACGGAGGGUGCUCCAUAACCGGCUUGAAGCUGAGGAUGCAAAGGAAGACAAGAUGAUGAAAAGGCAGGCCGCCCUGCUCGCUGUGGCCCACCAGUCUCCUCAAGGACCUUGAAACCUCCCUCCAUAAGUUAUUCAGAUCAAAAUUCUCCCUGGAACCUCCUGAGUUGGCUGAGAACAGAGCAGCAAAGUCCACAGCAUUCUCCAAAAUUAGCCCUGAGCUAACAUCUGCUGCCAAUCCUCUUUUUGCUAAGGAAGACUGGCCUUGAGCUAACAUCUGUGUCCAUCUUCCUCUACUUUAUAUGUGGGACGUCUGCCAUAGAAUGGCCUGCCAAGUGGUCCCAUGUCUGCACUGGGGAUCCAAACUCGUGAAGCCUGGGCCACUGAAGUGGAACGUGUGAACUUCACUGUUGUGC
rnacentral:lncRNA from 1 species